GAAACCUUACUGCUGUAGCAGCUAGAGCGUUAGCAGGUGUGGCUGCCUUAUACUGUUCUACACAGGGUUGUGCUAAUAACUGCUGCUUUCAAAUUACUGGGAAGACUAUUGGUAGGUCCCACAGAGCACAUCGUUUUGUCUUUGUGAUUUUAUUCCAAAGCGAGGUGGGAAGAAGUUCCAAAUGAAAGCUUGUGAGAUAGGUUUGGGAGCUCUUCGUUUCCUAUGGUCACACUAUGCAUGCGUGGAAAAUUAAUGCCAAUGACAAAACCUCUGCAAGGACAUCAGCACCCACCUGGGGAGCACCAUAGUGAGGCUGUGGAUGUCAGCAGGUGAGGAGCAUCAUUGGCUGCAAGGAGUUAAACUUGUGUUCUCUGGGGUGGGUUUGAAACACAGAGCUGUUGGGUGUAUCUCAUGUUGUCUGGUUCAGGGAUGGGUAUUUUUUUCCCUUGCCACUGAGGAGGCUUAUUGUAGUGUUGAGUUCUGUGCGCUUCUUUGAUAUUUAAGGCUAGAGAUCAUGCUGUAUAUUUCCCAGAUGGUGGAUUUGGUUUGUGUGCUUAUUUCUGCCUUUGCUCUUUCUUUUUUAACAGUUGUUAAAUUCAUUAUUUAGAGGGGAAACCCAUAUAAACGUGUAUCUGUGCUAAGGUUCAAGAAAGGCAGCAAGCAGGGGAGGAUGAAGCAGCAGUGCUGUGCUGAAACAUACAUUUGAUGACUGUUUUUAGUGCAUCUCAUUAGUAUCAGAGACCUAGCAGUGACUUCUACCUGCUGCAGGUGAUGCUGAGGCUUUCUGUGCAGCUGUACCUAUUUCAGUGCCAACCCUGCAGCUGCUUCUACUACAAUGCCCCUUCUCCUUAAGCCCGGAAAGUCACGGAGCUGCUCCCCUGGGCUGCCCCAACAAAGCCCCGCAGUGGCAGUAUUGGUAACAAGGGCGAGCUGCAAUACCACAGCCCGCGCGUUAAACGGGAAAUGAAACAGAAAUGGAAAUGAACGCCCGCAUCUGUCCCGUUUUUAAGGUAAAGGCAGAAAUCACCUCGUGUCUCCCAGUCCGGCCACGUUCACCCAAGGAAGGUGGGGAGAAGUCAAUGUCCAGGGAAAAUGUGCAACCAUCAUCUGCAAACGAAGAGUGGGAAAUCCUACGGGAUACGGUGAUGGAGCAAAAGGGGGGGAUGGAAAACAUCUGUACGUCGGUUGAGCAUCGGGAGCCUUUGUGCCCGAGUCGUUUUGGAAGGCGGAGGGGCAUCGGGACUUCCCGUCCCUCCCUGUGCCCUUCCUGUGUUGCGCAGCGGUCACAGAGAAGGACGCACCGGGGAGCGCUGGGCACAGCCGUGUCCCCGAAAUUUGCACCUGCAAAGAGGGAGCGAGCCAGGCGAGGGGAAUGUGCGACCGGAUGGAGAAAUAUCGAAUGUUUCUGGCCGUGUGCGUUGCCAGAGGUUUGCACAUUUUGUCUGAAAACACCCAGAGUUAGAGGCGGAGAGGAGGGAGGGGGGAUUUUAAUAAAAACCAUUUGCCACUUGUCUUCAAUUAGAGUCCAGACAUCGAGCAAUAAGGAAAAAACCUUUUCUAAAAUAUGUAUAUUUAUAUAUAUAUAUAUUAUUAUUAUCUCGCUAGCAGUCGGGCUGAAGAGGUAAAGGCGGUUCGCACGCAACGAUUUCAGGGCAAGGAGUUAAAACGAGCGAGCGAAUUCAGGCGUCGUUGUCGCCGUUCGUGCCGGCUCCUCCUGCCCCGGCAGCUCCCCGCCUCGCCCCGGCACACGCCGCGGAGCUUCGCACCGCUUCCCCGCACGGGAAGGGCUCCUCCGCCCGCGGACGGACCCCCGACGGCAG
ensembl:lncRNA